rnacentral:misc_RNA from 1 species
AAGUCGUAACAAGGUCUCCGUUGGUGAACCAGCGGAGGGAUCAUUACCGAGUUUACAACUCCCAAACCCCUGUGAACAUACCUAUAAUUGUUGCUUCGGCGGGAUCGCCCCGGCGCCCAACCUACCGGGCCCGGACCCAGGCGCCCGCCGGAGGCCCCAAACUCUUUGUUUUUACGUUGUGUAUCUUCUGAGUUAUACAAGCAAAUAAAUCAAAACUUUCAACAACGGAUCUCUUGGUUCUG